GUUAGGAAUAUUGGACAAUGGGCGCAAGCCUGAUCCAGCCAUGCCGCGUGAGUGAUGAAGGCCUUCGGGUUGUAAAGCUCUUUAGCCGAUGAUUAUAAUGACUGUAGUCGGAAAAUAAGCCCCGGCUAACUUCGUGCCAGCAGCCGCGGUAAUACGAAGGGGGCGAGCGUUAUUCGGAAUCACUGGGCGUAAAGCGUGCGUAGGCGGUUUUGUAAGUUAGGAGUGAAAGCCCAGGGCUCAACCCUGGAAUUGCUCUUAAAACUACAAGGCUAGAAUGUCGGAGAGGAUAGCGGAAUUUCCAGUGUAGCAGUGAAAUGCGUAGAUAUUGGAAGGAACACCAGUGGCGUAAGCGGCUAUCUGGACGACUAUUGACGCUGAGGCACGAAAGCGUGGGGAUCAAACAGGAUUAGAAACCCCGGUAGUCC
rnacentral:rRNA from 1 species